rnacentral:rRNA from 1 species
CACGUAGGCACCAAGCGUUGUCCGGAUUUAUUGGGCGUAAAGAGCUCGUAGGCGGUUCUGUAAGUCGGGUGUGAAAACUUUGGGCUUAACCCAAAGCGUGCAUCCGAUACUGCUGUGACUUGAGUUCGGUAGGGGAGUGGGGAAUUCCUAGUGUAGCGGUGAAAUGCGCAGAUAUUAGGAGGAACACCGGUGGCGAAGGCGCCACUCUGGGCCGAAACUGACGCUGAGGAGCGAAAGCAUGGGUAGCAAACAGG